rnacentral:rRNA from 1 species
CCUACGGGGGGCAGCAGUGAGGAAUAUUGGUCAAUGGACGAGAGUCUGAACCAGCCAAGCAGCGUGAAGGAUGACUGCCCUAUGGGUUGUAAACUUCUUUUAUAUGGGAAUAAAAUGUUCCACGUGUGGGAUUUUGUAUGUACCAUAUGAAUAAGGAUCGGCUAACUCCGUGCCAGCAGCCGCGGUAAUACGGAGGAUCCGAGCGUUAUCCGGAUUUAUUGGGUUUAAAGGGAGCGUAGGUGGAUUGUUAAGUCAGUUGUGAAAGGUUGCGGCGCAACCGUAAAAUUGCAGUUGAAACUGGCAGUCUUGAGUACAGGAGAGGUGGGCGGAAUUCGUGGUGUAGCGGUGAAAUGCGUAGAUAUCACGAAGAACACCGAUGGCGAAGGCAGUUCACUGGACUGCAACUGACACUGAGGCUCGAAAGUGUGGGUAGCAAACAGGAUUAGAUACCCGAGUAGUC